rnacentral:rRNA from 1 species
AACGCGAAGAACCUUACCUGGUCUUGACAUCCACGGAAGUUUUCAGAGAUGAGAGUGUGCCUUCGGGAACCGUGAGACAGGUGCUGCAUGGCUGUCGUCAGCUCGUGUUGUGAAAUGUUGGGUUAAGUCCCGCAACGAGCGCAACCCUUAUCCUUUGUUGCCAGCGGUCCGGCCGGGAACUCAAAGGAGACUGCCAGUGAUAAACCGGAGGAAGGUGGGGAUGACGUCAAAUCAUCAUGCCCCUUAUGACCUGGGCUACACACGUGCUACAAUGGUGCAUACAAAGAGAAGCGACCUCGCGAGAGCAAGCGGACCUCACAAAGUGCGUCGUAGUCCGGAUUGGAGUCUGCAACUCGACUCCAUGAAGUCGGAAUCGCUAGUAAUCGUGGAUCAGAAUGCCACGGUGAAUACGUUCCCGGGUCUUGUACACACCG